UGGUGACACUCUACAGCUGGCAGGAGAGGGAGCAACGACAACCGGCCCCAAUAAUCGGCGAUUACGCACUGUUCAUCUUCCAAAACAUCUUCAGUGUGUCGACAUGAGAGUUGUUCAGAUUUCCCAAUCCCGGUCAUUUGGAUAUAUGUUCCGGGUUGAAGAACCGAACAAGGAUGCAUGUUAUGGCGAAUCCGGUGGAGCAGUGAUGUUCAACGGCAAGAUUUAUGGUGUGAUUUCUAUUGAUGUCUCACACUUUGCAUGCAAGAAACCAGUUUCAAUCAUGGAUGUGUGUGAAUACAUUGGAUGGAUAAAAACAACAAUUGGCCAUAAAUAAAACAAACUACUGUGAAAUAAAAUUCUCAUCAAAUUUCCUCUCAGAUAUAAUUUUAUAGUUGUAUCUUGAUCUGUUUGAUCCACCUUUGUAGAAUUAGGAUAAAUCAAUAGCUUUGUUUUUUCUCACCUGAUCUUGAUCUCCCUAGUUCAGUGGUUCUUAACCUUUUAUGAGGUACCGAACCCAUCAGUUUCAUAUGCGCAUUCAUCGAACCUUUCUUUAGUGAUAAAUAAAAUAAAAACUUUUUCCAAAUUCAAGACGUAUGUAUGUUUUUUUGCUGGUGCACACAAUGAGCAAUGCAUGAACGUCACCUUGCUCAAAGAACAAAACCAUGAACUCACAGCAAAUUGCAGUAUUACUUUAUUCUGGCCCCC